rnacentral:misc_RNA from 1 species
GAAGUGCGAUAAGCAAUGCGAAUUGCAGAAUUCCGCGAAUCAUCAGAUCUUUGAACGCAAAUGGCGCCGGAGGGAUAUCCUUUCGGCAUGUCUGUUUCAGUGUCUGAGAGGUUUCACAUCAAUCUUAAUGUGAUUGACGGUGGUGGUGGUGGUGUGGCAACUCACUGCUGCUGCUGCUGUCUCUCAUGAAAGAUGCGCGAGUGGAUCUUUCGGUCCAGUGAAGUGGUCACAUCACUCGCAUGUGAUUUCAUUGGAAGCACCGAAUUAUCCGCAUGCUCGUGAUUACCAUAAUAAUAACAACAGGGAGUGACGACGACGUCGUCGUCGUCGUCGCUCUCUGUUCUCUCUCUACACCCUGCAUCUGAGACAGGCAAGAUCACCCGCUGAACUUAAGC